rnacentral:ncRNA from 1 species
UACCGCUAAAGGCAAACCCCACCGAAAGGGGGGGGCGCAAAGCCAUGGGUCUAAGGCUGGAAGAGCUAAGAUCGCCAGGCUGCCGGU